GAGAAAAAACCAGGACACUCACCGUCAGCCGGGCUGCCACCACAACAGAAGAAGUCGUUGAGCAGGAAGGUUUUGUUCACCAAGGAUCGAGCGUUGAUCAGAGCCAUUUUAGGCGGAUGAAUCACAUCGGGAAAAACUCCGGCUUUCUUCAAAGAACGUAGAUUUCCAGGAUUCACGCCGUUUUGCCGAUGACAUAGGCCAACCAGAGAAACAGGUCCUCUCCCCACAGUGCCACCCAGCGUCUGACUGGCACAUGCAGUCUAGCCUGCUACGUUGCUGUAAACCUGCGCUCUGAUUGGCUAAGACACUUCCGUGUUGUUAACCCUUUGUGACCUGGGUUACAGAAGACAUUCAGUGCAAUCCACAUGCAGUGAUGAGUUAUUGUCAAGAGUAGCUUUUAUGCAUUAAACUCAGUGACUGUAGUGAAAACAUUGGAUUGGUUUGUUAGAAAUUGUAACUUAGUAAACUGAGGAGAUGUAGGCACUCUGACAAACAGGUAAUCAUACUGUAGUAUUGUUUAGUAAUUCAGAAGUGCUCUUCACUGGACAUUCUGUAUUCAUAUAAUGGUAUAUGACAUUUAAAUAAUAACUAUAUAAAUAAAACAAUAUUAAUACUGGUCUGCACUGUUUGCACAUCGUUGCACAUGUGUACUUUAUGUACUCUUGUGUAGGUCUGUGUAGUCUUAGUCGGUUCUCAUGUGGCUCUGUGUUGUGGUGUUCUAUGUAGCACCAUGGUCCUGGAAGAACACUCUUUCAUUUCUGUGUGUACUACCUGUGUAUGGAUGAAAUGACAAAAACAGUGCAUAUCUUUGAGAGGAAUAACCAAAUGCAUUCUUUUGCUAAAUGUAUUUUUGUAGUUUUGUAUUCUGAGAAGAUAAGGUGUCUAGUUGGAGUGAGUCAAAGGCAUCAUCAGCUUGUUGUACAUGUCAGUGAAACAGUGUUUGUGUUAUCAGUAUGCACAUCCCCUGCCAUUAGGUGUAGUUUUUUCAAAUGUAUCACACUGUGUUUCAAGGUCUCAUUCCAUAAUUUAUGACCUCCCCCCACCAUGAGCACUGAUUCAACAGGUGUCUCAGUAUGUUGCAUAUACUAUGGCCUACUGCGAAUAAACACAGGGAAAUGAA